rnacentral:rRNA from 1 species
AUUGAACGCUGGCGGCAGGCCUAACACAUGCAAGUCGAGCGAGCGGCGGACGGGUGAGUAAUGUAUGGGGACUGCCCGAUAGAGGGGGAUAACUACUGGAAACGGUGGCUAAUACCGCAUACUAUCGGAUAACCCAUAUGGGAUUAGCUAGUAGGUGGGGUAAAGGCUCACCUAGGCGACGAUCUCUAGCUGGUCUGAGAGGAUGAUCAGCCACACUGGGACUGAGACACGGCCCAGACUCCUACGGAGGCAGCAGUGGGGAAGAUUGGACAAUGGGCGCAAGGCUGAUCGAGCCAUGCCGCGUGUAUGAAGAAGGCCUUAGGGUUGUAAAGUACUGUCAGCGGGGAGGCGUUACCCGAAGAGGAAGCACCGGCUAACUCCGUGCCAGCAGCCGCGGUAAUAC